CCUACGGGUGGCAGCAGUGAGGAAUAUUGGUCAAUGGGCGCGAGCCUGAACCAGCCAAGUAGCGUGAAGGAUGACUGCCCUACGGGUUGUAAACUUCUUUUAUAAAGGAAUAAAGUGAGGCACGCGUGCCUUUUGUAUGUACUUUAUGAAUAAGGAUCGGCUAACUCCGUGCCAGCAGCCGCGGUAAUACGGAGGAUCCGAGCGUUAUCCGGAUUUAUUGGGUUUAAAGGGAGCGUAGAUGGGUUGUUAAGUCAGUCGUGAAAGUUUGCGGCUCAACCGUAAAAUUGCAAUUGAAACUGGAAGUCUUGAGUAAAGUUGAGGUAGGCGGAAUUCGUGGUGUAGCGGUGAAAUGCGUAGAUAUCACGAAGAACUCCGAUGGCGAAGGCAGCUUACUAAACUGCCACUGACAUUGAUGCUCGAAAGUGUGGGUAUCAAACAGGAUUAGAUACCCUGGUAGUC
rnacentral:rRNA from 1 species